UACAGAGGGGGCAAGCGUUGUUCGGAAUUACUGGGCGUAAAGGGCGCGUAGGCGGCCUUCUAAGUCGAACGUGAAAUCCCUGGGCUCAACCCAGGAACUGCGUCCGAUACUGGAAGGCUUGAAUCCGGGAGAGGGAUGCGGAAUUCCAGGUGUAGCGGUGAAAUGCGUAGAUAUCUGGAAGAACACCGGUGGCGAAGGCGGUCAACUGGCCCUGAACUGACGCUCAGGCACGAAAGCGUGGGGAUCAAACAGG
rnacentral:rRNA from 1 species